UACGAAGGGGGCUAGCGUUGUUCGGAUUUACUGGGCGUAAAGCGCACGUAGGCGGAUACUUAAGUUAGGGGUGAAAUCCCAGGGCUCAACCCUGGAACUGCCUCUAAUACUGGGUAUCUCGAGUCCGAGAGAGGUGAGUGGAAUUCCGAGUGUAGAGGUGAAAUUCGUAGAUAUUCGGAGGAACACCAGUGGCGAAGGCGGCUCACUGGCUCGGUACUGACGCUGAGGUGCGAAAGCGUGGGGAGCAAACAGGG
rnacentral:rRNA from 1 species